rnacentral:rRNA from 1 species
UACAGAGGUCUCAAGCGUUGUUCGGAUUCAUUGGGCGUAAAGGGUGCGUAGGUGGCGCGCUAAGUCGGGUGUGAAAUUUCGGAGCUUAACUCCGAAACUGCAUUCGAUACUGGCGUGCUUGAGGACUGGAGAGGAGACUGGAAUUUACGGUGUAGCGGUGAAAUGCGUAGAUAUCGUAAGGAAGACCAGUGGCGAAGGCGGGUCUCUGGACAGUUCCUGACGCUGAGGCACGAAGGUCAGGGGAGCAAACGGG